UCCGGCUUAUCACCGGCAGUUUCUUUAGAGUGCCCAACUAAAUGAUGGCAACUAAAGACGAGGGUUGCGCUCGUUGCGGGACUUAACCCAACACCUCACGGCACGAGCUGACGACAACCAUGCACCACCUGUAUACGCCCCCGAAGGACACCACAUCUCUGCGGCUUUUGCGUAUAUUUCAAGCCCUGGUAAGGUUCUUCGCGUUGCGUCGAAUUAAGCCACAUGCUCCGCCGCUUGUGCGGGCCCCCGUCAAUUCCUUUGAGUUUUAAUCUUGCGACCGUACUCCCCAGGCGGAAUGCUUAAUCCGUUAGGUGUGACACCGAAGGGCAAGCCCCCCGACGUCUGGCAUUCAUCGUUUAGGGUGUGGACUAC
rnacentral:misc_RNA from 1 species